UGACUUGGCUUGCACUUACUUGUGACUAGCUCACAGAGUGGGAUGAUGACACUGUGUGGGAGCUCUGAGUAUUCAUGUCAUCUGUAAAAUAAAGCAGUUGGACCGCAUGUCCUCAAAGGUUCCUCAGCGUUCUCUAGCUCUACAAGACAAGUUUUCUGAUCUUCUCUGGUCUAACUGCCUUCUUUUCAGUCAAGACAUGCUGACUGGUUCCCUUCUCCAAAUGCCAGAGAGAGUUGGAGUUUAUUGAAUUGUUGGUAACAGGAGAUUUAUGAUGUUUCCAUCUAGUUUCUGGAUUAACUAUUCAUUUAUUCAACAAGAUGAGAAUCCCACAAAAUUCGCAACAUUAAAUGGAUUAUAAAUGGUUCCAUCUUUUAUUUCUUUGUUCUGAUACACCCUGUAAGAGUAAAAAAUGAAGUAGAAUCAAGAUAAACUAAUCCACCCUCAUGGGCUACAGAUGACAGC
rnacentral:lncRNA from 1 species